rnacentral:rRNA from 1 species
AGUGAACGCUGGCGGUAGGCCUAACACAUGCAAGUCGAACGGCAGCACAGUAAGAGCUUGCUCUUACGGGUGGCGAGUGGCGGACGGGUGAGGAAUACAUCGGCAUCUACUUUUUCGUGGGGGAUUACGUAGGGAAACUUACGCUAAUACCGCAUACGACCUACGGGUGAAAUCAGGAGAUCUUCGGACCUUUCGCGAUUGAAUGAGCCGAUGUCGGAUUAGCUAGUUGGCGGGGUAAAGGCCCACCAAGGCGACGAUCCGUAGCUGGUCUGAGAGGAUGAUCAGCCACACUGGAACUGAGACACGGUCCAGACUCCUACGGGAGGCAGCAGUGGGGAAUAUUGGACAAUGGGCGCAAGCCUGAUCCAGCCAUACCGCGUGAGUGAAGAAGGCCUUCGGGUUGUAAAGCCCUUUUGUUGGGAAAGAAAAGCAGCAGGUUAAUACCCCGCUGUUCUGACGGUACCCAAAGAAUAAGCACCGGCUAACUUCGUG